UUAGGAAAAAAUAAAUUGUAAAAAAACUGUUUUAAACACAAAAAAGGUGUUUUCCUAAAACUGAAGUCUCAAAAACGGAGUGGGUGACUUUUACGCCAGUACGAGCUAUAAAACAAUUUUUUCGGUACCACUAAAUCUCCAGUUAAUAGUGGGAGCAAGUUGCCAUAUUGGUUAACUACUUACAGACUGGGAUUACAAUGUUUUAUACUUUAAUUAUGCAUUUUAAUGUUUGGAUAUAUAACCCAGAGUUGAAUUCUUUUUUUAGGUUUCUGCUGAACCUGAUGGAGCAACAUAUGUUUUUCAAGGAUUCAUACAGAGUAACGACUAUGGGCAGUUUGGACUUCAAAGAAUAGGUCUCCACUUGUCAGAGAGUAAUAACUCUACGAAUCAGCCCCAUGGUACAAAUAGUAGCUCUGUGGCUAUAGCAAUUCUUGUGCCUUUCUUCGCCCUGAUAUUUGCAGGAUUCGGAUUUUAUCUAUACAAACAGCGAACUACGCCUAAAACAGAGUACACUGGUUGUGCAGUACACGAGAACAACAAUGGUCAAGCAGCCUUUGAAAAUCCGAUGUACGACACAAGUGCAAAAUCUGUAGAAGGGAAAGCUGUUCGAUUUGAUCCUAACCUUAACACAGUCUGCACAAUGGUGUAAUGAAGUUGGCUAAAAGGACAAUAUAUCAACUAUUUGCUGGAUGCUUGCAUUAGAAGAUACUCCAACUCAAAAUGGUGCACAUCCACUGAUCUAUUUAAAGCACACUUUUCAGGAACCAAUUGGUCAUGUGCAUCCAGAAAAUGAAUCAAGCAAAAGUGUUUUAGAAGGCUGGUUUAAAACUUAUCUUCAUGGUCACUAUGGAGAGUUCUACAGCUUUGUAUCUGCACUCUAAGAGUGCUUGUUCACUGUUUAUUUUGUCUUUUUUAAAAGGAAAAGGGAUCUGUAAAUCUACUUGCAUAUAUUUGAGGAGCAUUCACCACCUAUAUUUUUGCGCUAUAUAAUACCAUGGGCUGGGUUUGGGUAAAAAAGGCUAUACAAAGUUUAUAAACUAGAUGUUCUCUUAAAUUUUAAAAUAAAUGCACAAAAUGAUGUAACAUUAAGCUUCCUUAUUUUCUCAUUUGAUUUUUUUUUUCUAAUUCUUUCAUAUUUAUUUUUCACACCAAGUAAGUUCAUCAUAACAAACAACAAGGUUUUGUUCUGUAUUUCAUCAAAUUUUAUGCAUGUCGUAUCUUGCACAUUCUAUUAACAAUUUUAUGGUAAAUAACUGAUAAACCGUGUUACAGUAUGUUUAUUGGUUGCAAAUGUUGGCUUUGCAUUACUGUUUUUAAUUUCAAUUUGUUGAACACUACCCCAUUUUUUAUAUUUGUAAAGAGCCUUUUAUAAUCAUCAUAAUUAUAUUGCCUCACUUUUAGUGCAAAGAUACUUGCUUUGACAUGACCUUAUUUAUAGUAACAGGUAGUGUAUGAAUUCUGCGUAAAGGCUAUGACAAGGUGUAGUUAUUUUUCACACAAAAAUAAAUGUUGUAAUCUAUUGUAAUCAGUAUCUGCAGAUAAUCUGUCCUUGGAUGCAUCAUUAGGAAUCAGAACUAUGUUUUUUUUAUUACAAUAGCAUUAGCAUCUGGCUGGUAGGGGCAGUUUUCACAAUCAAUGUUUUGUGUAACAGGGUUUAACAUCGGAAUGUUAAAAGCAUACACAAUUAUUUCAGUUAUAGUAUAGUUUAAGAUAAAAGUAGGUUAGUUUUGUUUGGUUACCUUUUAAGAACGGAAUGCGCUGAUGUGUGAAAUACAUGAUCACAGUGCCUUGUUAAAACAGACAAAGCAGAUUAAUUAGAAAGUUGCUUGUCUAAACAUUGUUAUUGUGAACUGGCAGUCCAGGUGACAUUACAUGCUGCAGCUACCAUUACUUCAUUGUUAAGCAAUGUAUUCGCCCUUCUAGAUUUGAAAAUCUAGAAAUUUGAAAUUUACAAAUAAUUACAUUAUUUAUACUGUCAAUGUCUAUGCGGAGAAUUCAUAUAUUUUUCUCACCUGGGUGAAAGGAAUUGUUAUGAAUAUGACUUUACCAUUUUACACAGUGCCUACCAAAAAUCACAAAACCCAGGGUUGCUGCACAUUAUUCAUUGUUUUAUUCAAUUAAACACUUGAUUUAAUUUAUUCUGCUUCACAACAUUAAUGGAUUGGAUAUUUAUGCAGUUCUGUUAUAAAGUUGCUUUUUCUUAACAAGGAUGAUGUUUGUGUUUCUGGUGUCUUAUAUAUAUAUAUUUUGCCACUAGCUGUUCUUUAUAUAAAUUACUGCAAUAAUUACAAAUCACCCAUAAUGUCUUGGAAUGAACACGUUCAAUUGAAUUAGAAAACAAUUUGCAGUACAGCUGGGUACUCCUCAUGAUAAUGGAUAAAAACAAAACAAAAAAACUAAAAAAAACUUUUGUAAAGAAAUAUAUUUUUAUGAAAAAAUAAUUUGU